CGUCACCGAUUUUCCACAACGGAUCGUCGGGCACGUACCUGCCCGUGGAAAGGAACAA
rfam:Propionibacterium acnes JCM 18916 DNA, contig: contig00003.